rnacentral:rRNA from 1 species
UACGGAGGGUGCAAGCGUUAUCCGGAUUCACUGGGUUUAAAGGGUGCGUAGGCGGCUUGUUAAGUCAGUGGUGAAAGCUCGCAGCUUAACUGUGAAACUGCCAUUGAAACUGACAGCUUGAGUACGAUUGAUGUGGGCGGAAUACAACAUGUAGCGGUGAAAUGCUUAGAUAUGUUGUAGAACACCGAUUGCGAAGGCAGCUCACAAAAUCGCAACUGACGCUGAGGCACGAAAGCGUGGGGAGCAAACAGG